rnacentral:rRNA from 1 species
CUUAAUACAUGCAAGUCGUACGAGAAAGCUCGGCUUCGGUUGGGCGAGUAAAGUGGCGAACGGGUGAGUAACACGUGGACAACCUGCCCUUGAGUUCGGGAUAAUCCCUCGAAACGGGGGUCUAAUACCGGAUAAUAUCUCUUCCUGGCAUCAGGAUGAGGUCAAAGGCGGAGCAAUCUGUCGCUUGGGGAUGGGUCCGCGCUCCAUUAGCUUGAUGGUAGGGUAAAGGCCUACCAUGGCUCCGAUGGAUAGCCGGCCUGAGAGGGUGAUCGGCCACACUGGGACUGAGAUACGGCCCAGACUCCUACGGGAGGCAGCAGUAGGGAAUAUUGCGCAAUGGACGCAAGUCUGACGCAGCAACGCCGCGUGGGUGAUGAAGCUUCUUGGAGUGUAAAACCCUGUCAGAGGGGAAGAACCGCAUGGGUAGUAACUGACUCAUGCCUGACGGUACCCUCAGAGGAAGUCCCGGCUAACUCCGUG